AGGGUUCGAUUAUGGCUCAGAAUGAACGCUGGCGGCACGCUUAACACAUGCAAGUCGAACGAGAUCUUCGGAUCUAGUGGCAGACGGGUGCGUAACGCGUGGGAACCUGCCCUUUAGUAAGGAAUAACUCAGGGAAACUUGUGCUAAUACCUUAUAAUCCCUUUGGGGGAAAGCUUUAUGCGCUAAUGGAUGGGCCCGCGUUAGAUUAGCUUGUUGGUGAGGUAAUGGCUCACCAAGGCUACGAUCUAUAGCUGGUCUGAGAGGAUGAUCAGCCACACUGGGACUGAGACACGGCCCAGACUCCUACGGGAGGCAGCAGUGGGGAAUAUUGGACAAUGGGGGCAACCCUGAUCCAGCGAUGCCGCGUGAGUGAUGAAGGCCCUAGGGUUGUAAAACUCUUUCGCCAGGGAAGAUAAUGACGGUACCUGGUAAAGAAGAUCCGGCUAACUCCGUGCCAGCCGCCGCGGUAAUAC
rnacentral:rRNA from 1 species